GGGGAUUUAGUUUAGUGGUAUAACGUUCCGUUCGCAUUAGAGCACAUCCUGCUUGGAGCGUGCUUCGGAAAGGCCCCGGGUUCAAUUCCCGGAAUCUCCA